UAGUCUCUCUUCCUACUAAUUACCCAAGACUACCAAUGUACAAUUACCAUGUGGCACUCUGAGGAUCAAGCUAAGGGACCUUGUGUGCACGUUUGCAUGCAUGUUCCCUACCUAUGUCCACCUCUGCCUGCCACCAGCCGUCUUUGUAUGCUCCCCACCCUAAGCCAGAUCACCCCCUGCACUUCUUAUAGCAUCAGAUUGGGACAGUAAUGCAUCAUACUGCCUGCAACCUGGCCAGAGUAUGCUGGGCUGGACAUGUGAGUUUGCCUCUUCCGAAGGUUUCUUCCUCUUUGAGGCACUUUUACUUGGCCACUGUUAAUAUUUGCCUAACUGUCAUGCAAAUUUCUGGUUUUUCUCUUUUUCCAGUGCCUGCUGCUUACAUCACUCACCCCAUGGCUUGUGCUAAUAAGGCAGACCUUGUCUGGAGCCUUCAAGGGCAAAUGACCACAGACAUCUGUAGGCCACGUUGAUAAAGCUGCAUUCCAUGUUACUUGCUUGUAGUCAUACAUAUGGAUGAGCGAGGAACAUACCUGGAAAAGCUGUGCAGUGUGUUGCCAAGAAUAUUCAUCUAGACGCAGUGGCUGUGCAUGACCGUGUGGGCAUAGCAAAGGUCACCAUUGCAAAAUCAUCAUCUACCACCAUGAAGAUCAACCCAAGGGACCUUUGUAUAAAUGUCGCUUGCGUAUCUCAAUCUCUGCUUGCUGCCGCUCAUCUGUCUAUGCAGCCUGUAGGCUACUGCAUUAUCCACUGUUCUUUCUGAGCCAGUUUCACGUCGCAUGCUACUGUUGUUGCUGACUCCAUGCCCACUACAUGAAGUUCCCGUAACACAUUGCACUCCCUGCUACCUGACCAGAAGAUUGCUUGCCCUUUGCCUGCUGUCGAUGUCACUGACCCCAUGGCCACUGCAUCAAGUCUCCCUUCGCCCUUUCUGCCAAUAAGCCAAGCCAUGUGUGGAGGACUCAGGCCUAGUGUGCAGUGCGCACAAACCUCCUCAAUUGAGCACUGAUACCUGUAGUGAACCCUGCCACACAUAAUCUCCAAACAUUAUAGAAUGAUGCCCAGGCUACCUUGAUUAUAAUGCAUCAUUGCUCCUGUAUGUUUCUUGUUAUGGUGUGCCAGUUUUAUUUCUUGUGCUUCUAUUCUUCUGCCCUUCUGCCUGUGAUGUCUUCCCCCUCUGCCCUGCUGCCAUACUACUGUUUGCCCCGCCAUCUGGAACAGCUCCAGCACUUGCCUACCAUCAACUGCCUGCUCUCUGCUUGCAUCUCAAAUGUGAAGCGUGGGAAAAUGUGAAUUAUGACUGACUUUCCCUGCCAGCCCCAGGAGCAUGGGCUCCCCCUCUGAGUCUGGUUCCUCCUAAGGUUUCUUCCUUCUAGGGAGUUUUUCCUUGCCACUGUUGCCUCCGGCUUGCUCACUGUGGGCUUUUGGCAGGGAUGCUGAAAAGCGCUUUGACACUAUGAAAU